CAGGUAGGUGGUCUGAUAAGUCUGUUGUGUAAGCUCCCGGCUUAACUGGGAGAGGUCAACAGAUACUGUCAGGCUUGAGUAUAGGAGAGGUUACUGGAAUUCCCGGUGUAGCGGUGAAAUGCGCAGAUAUCGGGAGGAACACCAAUGGCGAAAGCAGGUAACUGGACUAUUACUGACACUCAGCUGCGAAAGCUAGGGGAGCAAACAGGAUUAGAUACCCUGGUAGUCCUAGCUGUAAACGAUGCACAUUAGGCGUGAGGGGUAUCGACCCCCUUCGUGCCGACGCUAACGCAUUAAAUGUGCCGCCUGGGGAGUACGGCCGCAAGGUUGAA
rnacentral:rRNA from 1 species